GACGAACGCUGGCGGCAUGCCUUACACAUGCAAGUCGAAAGGUAACAGGUCUUCGGAUGCUGACGAGUGGCGAACGGGUGAGUAAUGCAUCGGAACGUGCCCAGUUGUGGGGGAUAACUGCUCGAAAGAGCAGCUAAUACCGCAUACGACCUGAGGGUGAAAGCGGGGGAUCGCAAGACCUCGCGCAAUUGGAGCGGCCGAUGUCAGAUUAGGUAGUUGGUGGGGUAAAGGCCUACCAAGCCGACGAUCUGUAGUUGGUCUGAGAGGACGACCAGCCACACUGGGACUGAGACACGGCCCAGACUCCUACGGGAGGCAGCAGUGGGGAAUUUUGGACAAUGGGCGCAAGCCUGAUCCAGCAAUGCCGCGUGCAGGAAGAAGGCCUUCGGGUUGUAAACUGCUUUUGUCAGGGAAGAAAUCCUCUGGGUUAAUACCCCGGGGGGAUGACGGUACCUGAAGAAUAAGCACCGGCUAACUACGUGCCAGCCGCCGCAGUAA
rnacentral:rRNA from 1 species